UGUUCCUUGGCCUGUGACGUCCACCAGUUAAGAUACCACUCCUUAGUUUAUUUUUACACACCUGUCCCAGGGAAGACUGAACCCGAUGCACCCUGAACAUGACACGUGAUGUGUUUAUUUUGCAUGUGUGUCGACAAGCUGACAUCAGCUUUUGCUCCUGGCAUGCUACUGUGUUUAAAAGUGCUGCUGUUCUCUGCUACUGUCAUUACCUGGCUGGAAUGACGAAACAAUGUAGAGA